rnacentral:tRNA from 1 species
GUCAAGAUGGCCGAGCGGUCUAAGGCGCUGCGUUUAGGUCGCAGUCCACUCCGUGGGCAUGGUUUCGAUUCCCACUUCUGACA